AGAAAGAGGGUUGCAGGGAUUUAAGGUGGACGUGGACUUCUGAGCUUGGAGGGAGACGGAGGAAUCUACGGGGGUCGGUUUUGAUGAUGUUGAGAAAGAACCGGGUGAGAUCUUGAGCGGGCUUUUGCCGUACAAGAAAGAGGAGUGUUUAACGCGUAAGCAUCUCGAGUUGCUAGCUCCUAGCUCGCGUCUGAUGGCUAAUAGUAAAAAUCCGUACCUCCUUAAAAGAAGCACGGCGGAGGUGUUCCCAUUGAUUAAAGCUGUAAGAAUGGGGGAAGGGAGGGUUCAGGAGACUCUUUCCAGCGGAGGAGUCACCCCUCCUCCUCCUUAUUCUCCCUCCUUCCUCCCGCCCGCCUCGGGCGCUCCUUCCCCCAGCUCCGUGGCUGCUUCUCUCGUUUCGUUCUCCCUGGGGUAGCAAACAUGGAUCCGGAACUCUGCCGUGCAAUGCAACUGCCAAGGAUGGCUGUAAGAGACAAGGGGGGGGGGGGUCCAGAGCAGGAGGAAGACCGAAUUCUGCAAAGAAGAAAGAACUGGAGCGGAUGAGAUGGGGAGGUGUUGUAUGGCAGAGCUGGGAGACGGAGGCCGCUGGCAGGCGGAGGAAGCGCUCGCAGGAGCCCGCUGCUCGAAAUAACUUUAAUUUUUGCUGAAGACAGCAGCAAUGGAUCGCCAGGCAAGUUGCUCUUAUGUUUUGGAGAGGCGGAGACAACUCGUCCCCUCUCCGAUCUCUGAACUGGGGGAGGCGGCCUUUCCUAAAGGCACCAGGAGUGCUUGCUUUGAUUAUCUCGUCUUCGGCUUGUUGUUUUCGGAAGUCUGCAGUCCCCUCCCCUCGAAACCUAGGGAAAUCUGCGUGCGUGAUGCUUUGAAGCUUGGGAAGGAGCAAUGCGUUCGCGAGGAAUCAAAACGACAUGUAGCGGCAGCAUAUAAGGCAAGGUAAAGCAGCUCUCUGGCACUCGCCCUCCCUGCUGCCAGCAACGAACUGAAAAGCCACGGGAAAUGUAGGCAUGGCGAGCCAGAGACCCGGAUGUACGAAGACCGGGGACUGCAGAAACACGUGGUGGUGGGAAUGGAGAAGGAUCGCAUAUAAUUAUAUGCUGCUUCCUACUCUGUUCUCCCCACCUCCCAGCAGAGGUUGUAAAAUAUUUGGCCAGAGGCAAUAUCCCAACGAGGAAGCGAGUCUACCCUUCUUGAGGGUUGCAGAGAAAAUCAGCACUGCAUUUUCAUGUUUUGUUGGGGGAAGGGGUGUGUGUGUGUGUGGAGAAAAUGGGUAGGCGAAAUAAACGAAACACGCCGGACAGGUUCUUCCCCCCACCCCCGCCCCGUCUCCCCAUUCGCUCUCUGUGUUAAUAACUCUUUGGGGGAAAGGGCCUGGCUUUCUGGAUUUGCAGGUAUGUUGCUUUUUCCAUUUCUCCCCCCACCCCGAUUUUGUCAUCGGUCCCCCACCGCGAUUAUUUUAUUUGAACUAGAACGAAAUCGUACAGAGACAAAACAAUCAACUAAACUUGAUUGUUGGUAUGGUUUGAAAAGCGGCGGCGGAACAAAAUACAAUGCUGGGAGUUGAUACCGCCUUUUGCCCAAGUGGAUAUAGGCUACAUAUACAGCAAAAAUACAAUUAAAUAAAACUAUUCCAGAACAACUCUAAACGAAGAUGUACACUUAAGUGUAUAUGUCGCCUAAUCCAUAGUAAGAAAGUCUAAUAGUUCUUUUUGUUAUAGUUUUAAGCGGGGGUUGGGGGUGUUGAAGGAAAAUUAGGUAUGUUAGACUUAUUUUUUACUAGGUAAGUGUAGCCUCAUGACAGACUUAAAUGUUUGCUUUCUGAGUAUUAGAAAAUAUUAAAUUUACUUACAUAAGAAAGAAAAAACAGUCCCUAAGUCCAGAUUUAGUCAAUACUAACUGGCACUUGGCUGAAUUUCCUCAACAUAAUACCAGUAACGUUACUACGAAUUAUAUUGUGUUAAUGAGGUAUAAAUAAACUGUAAACUUGAACCCGUGUGGGCCCUAA